UGUAAGCAUGCAAAGUGCGCUGACACAGCGCGGAACGCACGCAAUCCUCUUUGCCAAAACGGACAAUGCCCACCAUCUCGUCCUCUUCAAAACGCGCCAGCGCGUCCGCGAGACCAGAAGGCACCCCAGCGGGCAAAUCGCACUGGGUUAUAUCGCCGUUAACAAUCACCGUGACGUUUUCGCCAAGGCGGGUC
rnacentral:antisense_RNA from 1 species